GUCAGGACACCUUCAUGCGGGACUGCAUCCCACCAGUGGAAAGACUGGUCAUUACUUUGCGGGCUGCUGACUUGGACAGUCUGCAUGGGGCUCACGAAACUCGGAGUGGGUGGGGGGCCUGGAGGACUCAUUGGCCCCAUAGAUGGUCCGGCCUCACUGUCCAUGGUUGUGCCCUCGUCCUCUUCCUGUCAUCUUGCGCCUGGCUGGGUUCCCAGCUACUAUCGGUGCUGUGAAGUGGAAAAUAUAGGUAUUUAGCUACCGGACAGUCAUUGGCCAGUCUACACUUCGCCUUUCUCAUUGGGAAGUCCACAGCCAGUAUGAUCAUCCGUGAAACCUGCGUGGCAAUUUGGGACGUCCUUCAUCCUGCUGUGAUGGGCCAACCACAGAAAGAGGACUGGCUGCAAAUUGCGGAUCAUUUUUUAGAAUCCUGCAAUUUCCCAAACUGUGUCGGCGCAAUAGACGGCAAACACAUCCGCGUUAAGAAGCCCAUCAGGA